UACGGAGGGUGCAAGCGUUAUCCGGAUUCACUGGGUUUAAAGGGUGCGUAGGCGGGUUGGUAAGUCCGUGGUGAAAUCCCCAAGCUUAACUUGGGAACUGCCGUGGAUACUAUCAAUCUUGAAUAUCGUGGAGGUAAGCGGAAUAUGUCAUGUAGCGGUGAAAUGCUUAGAUAUGUCAUAGAACACCGAUUGCGAAGGCAGCUCACAAAGCCAUUAUUGACGCUGAGGCACGAAAGCGUGGGGAUCAAACAGG
rnacentral:rRNA from 1 species